rnacentral:rRNA from 1 species
AGUGAACGCUGGCGGUAGGCCUAACACAUGCAAGUCGAACGGCAGCACAGUAAGAGCUUGCUCUUACGGGUGGCGACUGGCGGACGGGUGAGGAAUACAUCGGAAUCUACUUUUUCGUGGGGGAUAACGUAGGGAAACUUACGCUAAUACCGCAUACGACCUACGGCUGAAAUCAGGGGAUCUUCGGACCUUUGGCGAUUGAAUGAGCCGAUGUCGGAUUAGCUAGUUGGCGGGGUAAAGGCCCACCAAGGCGACGAUGCGUAGCUGGUCUGAGAGGAUGAUCGGCCACACUGGAACUGAGACACGGUCCAGACUCCUACGGGAGGCAGCAGUGGGGAAUAUUGCGCAAUGGGCGAAAGCCUGAUCCAGCAAUGCCGCGUGGGUGAAGAAGGUCUUCGGGUUGUAAAGCCCUGUUGUUGGGAAAGAACAGCAGCAUGUGAAUACCCCGCUGUUCUGACGGUACCCAAAGAAUAAGCACCGGCUAACUUCGUG